UACGGAGGGUGCGAGCGUUGUCCGGAAUCAUUGGGCGUAAAGGGCGCGUAGGUGGCCUGGUCAGCGUGCGGUGAAAGCUCGGGGCUCAACCCCGAGUCGGCCGUGCGAACUGCUGGGCUUGAGCACUGUAGAGGCAGGCGGAAUUCCGGGUGUAGCGGUGGAAUGCGUAGAGAUCCGGAAGAACACCGGUGGCGAAGGCGGCCUGCUGGGCAGUGAGCUGACACUGAGGCGCGACAGCGUGGGGAGCAAACAGG
rnacentral:rRNA from 1 species